UGGGGAAUAUUGCACAAUGGGCGAAAGCCUGAUGCAGCAACGCCGCGUGAGUGAUGAAGGCCUUCGGGUUGUAAAGCUCUGUCUUCUGGGACGAUAAUGACGGUACCAGAGGAGGAAGCCACGGCUAACUACGUGCCAGCAGCCGCGGUAAUACGUAGGUGGCAAGCGUUGUCCGGAUUUACUGGGCGUAAAGGAUGCGUAGGCGGAUACUUAAGUCAGAUGUGAAAAUCCCGGGCUUAACUUGGGAACUGCAUUUGAAACUGGGUAUCUAGAGUGCGGGAGAGGAAAGUGGAAUUCCUAGUGUAGCGGUGAAAUGCGUAGAGAUUAGGAAGAACUCCAGUGGCGAAGGCGACUUUCUGGACCGUAACUGACGCUGAGGCAUGAAAGCGUGGGGAGCAAACA
rnacentral:rRNA from 1 species